AAAUAAAAAAAGAUGGGAUUAUUAUAAUGAAAGUGUAUACUGACAUUAUAAUAAUCUUGUCUAUGUUCUAAAUACAAAAUACCUUCACGAGGUUCAGAAUGGGUGAUAUAAGGAGGUUAUAUUGGCUAAAUUUAUGUAUGUGAGAAAAUGAUGUUGAUUGAUUAUAAAAAACGUGUGUUGUUAGGUGUAGAGAAUAAUAGCAGGUAUUAUUUAGAAAGAUUUUAAUAUUUUAUUAACGAUUAAAAUCAAGAAUCUAUAUUAUUUACAGCACACUAAUUUUAACA
rnacentral:misc_RNA from 1 species